UAUUUCGGAACAGAAUUCCUUCGAUAUCAAUGUUAUCUAAUAAUAAUCAUGAUUUUUUCUUACACCAACACAGAAAAAAUCAUGAUUAUUAUUAGAUAACAUUGAUUUCGAAGGAACUAGAUUCUGUUCCGAAAUA